GUAGGUGGCAAGCGUUGUCCGGAAUUAUUGGGCGUAAAGCGCGCGCAGGCGGUCCUUUAAGUCUGAUGUGAAAGCCCACGGCUCAACCGUGGAGGGUCAUUGGAAACUGGGGGACUUGAGUACAGAAGAGGAAAGCGGAAUUCCAAGUGUAGCGGUGAAAUGCGUAGAGAUUUGGAGGAACACCAGUGGCGAAGGCGGCUUUCUGGUCUGUAACUGACGCUGAGGCGCGAAAGCGUGGGGAGCAAACAGGAUUAGAUACCCUGGUAGUCCACGCCGUAAACGAUGAGCGCUAAGUGUUAGGGGGUUUCCCGCCCCCUUAGUGCUGCAGCUAACGCAUUAAGCACUCCGCCUGGGGAGUACGGCCGCAAGGCUG
rnacentral:rRNA from 1 species